AAUUUUAAAAAUAGUAUAAAAUAGAACGUCUCAAUACUUGUCCACUAUUUCACCAUGGCCAUGUUAUUAUAUGAGCUGCGUCGGAUAGAAAUCGACUUUAUGCAGGUGCACGUAUAUAUAUAUAUAUAUAUAUAUAUAUAUAUACACGUAUAAGCUCAGAUUGAUUUUGGAAAAUUCAAAUACGAAAUAAAAGAUGCAUGGUGCUCUUUUUUGUAUAAAGGUUUUUAAAACAACUCAAUUUUCAAAUAAUUGCAGACUUUCAGUAGAGAUUGUUUCAACCUACAAUCGGUUAACAGAGCGACGUAAUGAUAAGAUCGAUUUCUAUAUAUGAAAACAGUAG
rnacentral:lncRNA from 1 species